rnacentral:rRNA from 1 species
CACGUAGGGGGCAAGCGUUGUCCGGAUUUACUGGGCGUAAAGAGCGCGUAGGCGGUCUUGUAAGUGUGAAGUGAAAUCUCCAGGGCUCAACCCGGAAACUGCUUUGCAUACUGCGAGACUUGAGGGAUGCAGAGGUUUGUGGAAUUCCUGGUGUAGCGGUGAAAUGCGUUGAUAUCAGGAGGAACACCCAUGGCGAAGGCAGCAAACUGGGCAUCAUCUGACGCUGAGGCGCGAAAGCUAGGGGAGCAAACAGG